UACGUAGGGGGGCUAGCGUUGUCCGGAAUCAUUGGGCGUAAAGCGCGUGUAGGCGGUCCGAUAAGUCCGCUGUGAAAGUCGGGGGCUCAACCCUCGGAUGCCGGUGGAUACUGUCAGGCUUGAGUACGGAAGAGGCGAGUGGAAUUCCUGGUGUAGCGGUGAAAUGCGCAGAUAUCAGGAGGAACACCAAUUGCGAAGGCAGCUCGCUGGGACGUUACUGACGCUGAGACGCGAAAGCGUGGGGAGCAAACGGG
rnacentral:rRNA from 1 species